UACGUAGGGGGCAAGCGUUAUCCGGAUUUACUGGGUGUAAAGGGAGCGUAGACGGCAGAGCAAGUCUGAAGUGAAAGCCCGCGGCCCAACUGCGGGACUGCUUUGGAAACUGCCCGGCUAGGGUGCUGGAGAGGUAAGCGGAAUUCCUAGUGUAGCGGUGAAAUGCGUAGAUAUUAGGAGGAACACCAGUGGCGAAGGCGGCUUACUGGACAGUAACUGACGUUGAGGCUCGAAAGCGUGGGGAGCAAACAGG
rnacentral:rRNA from 1 species